rnacentral:rRNA from 1 species
GGGGGGGGGGGGGGGGGGGGGGGGGGGGGGGGGGUGGGGGGGGGGGCAGUGUCGUUGGGGGGCGGGUGAGUGGCGCGUAGGGGUGUGGCUUGAGGUGGGGGACAGCCCUUCGAAACUCUGUCUAAUCCCGCGUCUUUCCUGAGUGGCACAUCAUCGAUGCGCCUUGAGAGUAGCCUGCGUCCUAUUAGCUCGUUGGUGGGGUAAAGUCCUACCAAGGCGACGAUCGGUAGCUGGUCUGAGAGGACGACCAUCCACACUGGGACUGAGACACGGACAAGACUCCUACGGGAAGCAGCAGUGGGGAAUAUUGGACAAUGGGCGCAAGCCUGAGACAGCAAUGCCGGGUGGGUGAAGAAGGUCUUCGGAUCGUAAAGCCCUUUCGGCGGGGACGAUGAUGACGGUACCAGCAGAAGAAGCCCCGGCUAACUUCGUG